rnacentral:misc_RNA from 1 species
GAUGAAGAACGCAGCGAAAUGCGAUAAGUAGUGUGAAUUGCAGACUUUAGUGAAUCAUCGAAUCUUUGAACGCACAUUGCGCCCGCCAGUAUUCUGGCGGGCAUGCCUGUUCGAGCGUCAUUUCAACCAUCAAGCCCCCGGCUUGUGUUGGGGACCUGCGGCUGCCGCAGGCCCUGAAAACCAGUGGCGGGCUCGCUAGUCACUCCGAGCGUAGUAAUACAUCUCGCUCAGGGCGUGCUGCGGGUUCCGGCCGUUAAAAAGCCUUAUUUACCCAAGGUUGACCUCGGAUCAGGUAGGAAGACCCGCUGAACUUAAGCAUAUCAAUAAGCGGAGGA